rnacentral:rRNA from 1 species
CAGGACGACGCUGGCGGCGUGCCUAAUACAUGCAAGUCGAGCGCAGGAAAUAAACGGAUCCUCAUCUGAGGUGAUGUUUAUGGAAUGAGCGGCGGACGGGUGAGUAAACAACGUGGGCAACCUGCCUGUAAGAUCGGGAUAACUCGCGGAAACGUGAGCUAAUACCGGAUAACACUUUUCAUCUCAUGGUGAGAAGAUAAAAGACGGUUUCGGCUGUCACUUACAGAUGGGCCCGCGGCGCAUUAGCUAGUUGGUGAGGUAACGGCUCACCAAGGCGACGAUGCGUAGCCGACCUGAGAGGGUGAUCGGCCACACUGGGACUGAGACACGGCCCAGACUCCUACGGGAGGCAGCAGUAGGGAAUCUUCCGCAAUGGACGAAAGUCUGACGGAGCAACGCCGCGUGAGUGAUGAAGGUUUUCGGAUCGUAAAACUCUGUUGUUAGGGAAGAACAAGUUGGGUAGUAACUGACCCAACCUUGACGGUACCUAACCAGAAAGCCACGGCUAACUACGUGCCAGCAGCCGCGGUAA